rfam:Microsporum canis CBS 113480 supercont1.6 genomic scaffold, whole genome shotgun sequence.
UUGUGAUGACAUCUUGAUGACGAGUCUUAUUCGAAUUCUCGAUGCAGACACAAAUAUUUCAAAUAACCAUUCAUGCCAAACUGAAC